rnacentral:miRNA from 1 species
AUCUUGAGCUCCCUGGCUGCAGCCA